ACUUGGCUUGAUCCAAGGUUUAUCAGAAACCAUGAAAAUCAAAGGUUGUAAAAAUGCAAAAAAAUGGAGUUUAUUUCUGCGCCUUAGAUGUUAGGUUUCAGUGGUAAGCUUCCCAUAUAAAAACUGAUGAAAAGCUAGAAAGGGACGGGGGCUGAAGAGAUAGAGGGCGGCUAGGGUUUUAGAGGGAAAAGGAAAAAAUGAAAAGAAAAAGGGAGAGCUAGCAGGGCUGGGUAAAAGGAAGCAAGAAAGGUCGUGGGAAAAGAAAGAACUUCAAAAAGGAGAGAGCUUGGAGCUUCGGCAGAGGAGAAAGAAAAGAGCUUUGGGCGGGGAAGGAAAGAGAAGAGAACAAAAACAAGAGACCGAGAGAGGGUGGAGGUGGAAGGUGAGAACAUCUAGAAACCAGGGUAAAGGAAAGGGAGCUUCGGUUAAGAUCAGAAAACAGGAAAAGGAACGAAAAAAAAAGGGAACUUUGCAGAAGAUUUUUCGACAGGAAAAGGCUGACCUUUUAGCCUCCCUCGGAUGCAUUUUUCUCUUUGGAUAUAGCUUUGUUUGAGGUGAUUUAAAUUUCUGAAUAAUCUACGUCAUUUGGGGAGGAGAUUUCGUGUUGAACAUUUCUGGAAAAAACCACUGAAACACCCUUGAAUCGAAGCUCCAAGUCGCGAGUUUGUCCCUGCCGCAUGCCGCUGCGAUGAAAUUUUCUUGGCUUCGUUUCAGCCAACUUUCCCGCUUCAUUCUGAUCUCCCCAGGGCUCCUCAGGGAGAGAUCUCGGUUUCUGGAUAAACUACAUCAUCAAAGGAGCGAUUCUUGUUGAGAAACAUUCUGGAAAGGACGUCUCCAUCCUCUCCAAACUUCAUCCCCCUGGUAGCAAGGUCGUCAGCCUUAGGUGUCUUCACCAAAAAUUUGCCGCUUCGAAGUUGGUAUCUGGACGCGAUCUUUUCAAUCUUUCCUUGCUUACUGGACCUAGUAAAGUGCUAAAGGUAAUCCUUUUUGCCUUCUAUCUCUCACGUUAGCUCAGAUUUUCCAAAUAUGUCAAAGACCUUGAUGCAUUUUGUUCGCUUUGUCAUUUUUGCUUCCUAGAACAGCCGUUGGUUGGGUUUUAUUGAAUUAUUCGUUACCUGAUGUUUGUAUUUGGGAGAUCAAGCUUGAUAUGUGAUAUCUUGGGUUAUGUUAACAAUGGUGCUAUGGGAAUUUAUGCGGGUUUAGUUGACAGAAAAAUGAGUUUUGUUGCAUUCUUUUCGUAUGAUAUCAGCGUGGGUUUGAGCUGCCAAUUUGUAUCAAAAAUUGCAGUAGGAAACCUUGACCGAAUUUAAUCCGGAAUGAAUCUUGAAUGGGCUGUUAGUUUGCUAGUUUCAUAGCUUCCUUUUCGUUUGCAUGGUCGAGAUUCUGUCUCAAAUUUUUCCUGAGCGACGUGGGUUGCUAAAAUGAGUUCAGUUGCAGAAUGUUUUUCUUUGCGGCUUUGCUGCAUUUUAUGUUCGGUUUCUUUGAGUAGAUCUUUUGGGGAAUAGAUGAUUGUUUUUUAGGUUAACAAUAUGAGUUAGAAGUCAUGGCAUUGGAGAGUUCGCAUGGACAGAUUACUAAGCUUUCAUUCCCAUUACUUCGUAUGAUCAUCUUUCGGUCCGUAGCUACAAAUUGCAGAAUGUUAUUUCUAUGUUUGCAUGAUCAUUUUUCCGAGUUUCAGAUGUUUAAACAUAAGAUUUUUGCGGUUAAAAGGAGAAAAAUGUUUGGGUAAUCUUGUCACUUCAGUCCAAGCCUUUGUGUGUAGUUGUUAAUUGUGUUCGGAUGAGAAAGGAUCGCAUCAGGAAACCUGAAAGUGGAAAUGAAAAACGCAGCAAAGUCUUUCCGUAGCUUUGCAUGGAAAACUUUCAACAAUUGCCCUUUGACCCCCUGUCCUUUCAUAUACUUCCAUUAUGAGCCAACCAAUUGAAUAAUUUCCUCAAUUUGGUCCUUGGCAGCUUUAAUUUUACAACUUUUCAUUGCUUGUUUGCUUCAAUUAACUACCAUGCUUUGUUUAAAUUGCACUUAAUUCAUAAUUUUAAGGGUUUUGUAUCCAGGUGAGGUUGUGUUUGCAUAUUUUCUUUAAUUUUUCCAAAUAAAUUGGUACCUUGACCUUCUCUUUUAUUUUGGAGGAUAAAUAAGUGAUUUCACUCCACUAGGGUCCCGACUCAAGGGAGGGCACCACUUUUGGGGAAUAUGAUGUUUUGAAGCACGAGUUGAGCUCGUUUUAAUAUAUUUUUGCAAAGCUCCUCGAUAGUUGGAAAACCCUAAAUGUAUUUGGAUCUAAUUAGCUUCCUUUUGUUCUGUAAAUUACAAACGUAUGUGUAUAACACCGUUUGACCCUGUUCAUGUAUCAUAUUUGGUUUUGAAA